CCUUCUAACAACACUUCUUCCUUUCUUCGAAACACACCAUCUUCUUUGAAACAAUGCCUUUGAAAAAUGAAAAGUGAAAACCCUAAAGUCACAGAGCUCAUCACCCUAACAGCGGCGGCGCUCUUCACCAAACAUAGAGCUCAUCGCCGGUGCCCUCACUCUCUCUCCCAAUAACACUCAUUGGUCAACCUCAUUCCAACCUUCUCUAGCAACCCCUCCGUAGGUGCCACCUCUGCUGGUGUUCCCUGCGUCGGCGCUCCUUCCGUCUCUCCUGUAAACACCUAUCCCUCCUUCGGCGGUGACUCACUCUGGUAAGGCCUCCCUCGGCGCUCACUCUCUAUCGCAAACCCUCCGUCGACGCUCUCUCUCUCUCUCUCUCGUAAACCCUCAAUCGUCGCUCCUCCCACCAUGAUUUAGCACCCGCCGUAUUUCUGUCUCCCUCUCUGAAGUCGUCGUGCCGCCGUCUCCCUCUCCUUCACUCGUCGUACCUCCGUCAGCCAUGUUCAGUGUUCGUAGCGCCGUGCUGUGGUAGUGCUCAACUGCUACUAUGUGAUGCUGAACUGCUACUGCUUUGCCUGUUCUGUUAUUCUAGUUUUUCUACAUCAACUAUCAAGCAGGGGACUCCUACUGGGAGAAAAAGUCUAAGGCUGCUGGUCUUAGGGCAACUGCAAACCAUUUGCGUGAUUUGAAUCCUGAAGAUGUGCACGAAAUUCUUAGGCAAGCUGCUGAAAUUUUUGAAGGAAUAGGAAUAAUUAAUAUUGUAGCUCAAUGUCUUUCAGAUUUGGGGGAUCAUGAAAAAGCUGCGUCUUCUUCUAGCACCUUCUACACCAACCUCAAGUUUUGAACCAAACCCAAUAGUAACAAAGCUUUUUCUUUGUCACAAGAAUAAUAAUAAUCAUAUAUCAUGAAGACAACAUCAAUAACAACAUCAACAGCAACUUGAACUGAAGGUCCUGUGCUAGAAAGGCAGCCUCUUUGUUAUGCACGCAAGUGAGGUUAAGUAGCUGGUUUUGGUCAAAGAGUAUGCUGGAUUUGUCGUGGAGUAUAUAAAUGGCAAUAAUUUGACAUACAGAAAGAAAUGGUACAUAGUGAAUUGGAUUCUGACAAGGGCAAUUUUGCUAGGAUCACUGGUGGCAACAGUGGAAGAGUAGGUUCUGUCUUUGGUAGAGAGCCUUCAUUUUCACGCUGGUGUGAUGAGGACGAAGAAGUCCAUUUGAAUCGGGAAUUAGGAAAUGCAAGGAAUGAUCUUGUGGACGAAGACCCUGGUUUUGACCCUAUAAGUUUCUUCUCGAUACAAGUGGUCAUCACAUCCAUAGAUACACUAUGUGUCCUAUCAAGGAUUAUUACCUGGUGCUGGUCUCAAAUUCAAACUGGUGUUGUCAUGUCUUGGAGGGAUUAGUUUUUGAAAGUGUGCUAAGUUAUGAUUGCAAGUGUUCUCAUUAUCAGUGGGUGAAAUGGGAACUGUGAUUACCUUUGGCGCAAGGUAGUCUUGUGAAUUCUUCCAUGAUCGCAUGAAGGGCAAAAGUGAUGAAGGUAAAGUCAGAAAAAUUUUGAAGGUGGAACAUAACUUUUACUCUUUGGCAUCAAGACAAAGAAGAGGCCCCAUGCAUGCAUACAUGAUAUGAUCACUGAACACAUUCAAUUGCAUUGCAAAAAAGCAUAAAAAAAGGCCAUACAGCAGGUCCUAUAUAUAUGCUUGAGUAAAGACAAGUGAAA